GCGGCAGACGGGUGAGUAACGCGUGGGAACGUACCUUUUGCUACGGAAUAACUCAGGGAAACUUGUGCUAAUACCGUAUGUGCCCUUCGGGGGAAAGAUUUAUCGGCAAAGGAUCGGCCCGCGUUGGAUUAGCUAGUUGGUGAGGUAAAGGCUCACCAAGGCGACGAUCCAUAGCUGGUCUGAGAGGAUGAUCAGCCACACUGGGACUGAGACACGGCCCAGACUCCUACGGGAGGCAGCAGUGGGGAAUAUUGGACAAUGGGCGCAAGCCUGAUCCAGCCAUGCCGCGUGAGUGAUGAAGGCCCUAGGGUUGUAAAGCUCUUUCACCGGUGAAGAUAAUGACGGUAACCGGAGAAGAAGCCCCGGCUAACUUCGUGCCAGCAGCCGCGGUAAUACGAAGGGGGCUAGCGUUAAUCGGAAUUACUGGGCGUAAAGCGCGCGUAGGUGGUUCGUUAAGUUGGAUGUGAAAGCCCCGGGCUCAACCUGGGAACUGCA
rnacentral:rRNA from 1 species